rnacentral:misc_RNA from 1 species
AGUUAUGGAGAGGUAAUUUCCUUUCUUUUUCUUUGAUAGAGUAAGAUGCGGGGGUGAAUUUGGAUUAAGCUGCCUCUGUAUGUUUUUUGGUGGAUUAAGAUCUUAUUAAUUUAAGGAUUUUAAGAUUUAAACUUAUAGAGAAAUGUGUUGGUGAAUUGUAAAUUGAAUUGGGGUUGAUUACAUUGACGUUUAAAGGAAAUAGAAUGGCAAUAGAGCCGCUUGAAUUACAGGUUUGUUUUCUUGGGCAUGUAAAUAUAGUUUUGGGUCUGAUUUUGAUGAAUUUAUUGAUCAGAAAGGUAAAAUGUGAUUGGAGCUUCUUUGUUUCUGUGUUAGAAUGGUUUGGCAUGUUUGAGGGAUAUUCUCACAUUGCAAUAGCUCUGAGUUUCUAGAAUUAAGGAGUGGCUGGAAAUGCUUACCUAAAUUCUUCUACCUCAGCUGCAUGAGUAAUAGUGAUAAUUCAGAAUUUCCUAACACCAUCUAGGAUAGGCUUUCAUGUAUGGCCUGGGUGUAACUUAAUAUUUGAUGGUGCUGACAAAGCAUCGUCCACCAAAAAGCAUACAUGGUAUUAACCAAGAUGCCUGAUUUAGGGUUUACUGAUUUUCGUAGAUGAUAUUGUGACUAUGGCUAUCCAUUCUACACCCUUAGCUUAGCAGAAAAAAGUACGGUAGGAACAUGUUUGAUCAAUUUACCGAGCUUUUAAUUGUUUUUUGUAUUGUCAGUACUCAGUAGAUGUUCACCACCCCAACCUGCUAGUACUCAGUACCCACACAUCUUCAAGAAUGAGAUUAUUCUGUUUAUGUGCUGGUAACAUCAAGUCUUGGCUGCCUCUUUGGACUUCAGAAUUUGACAUUUUCCUCUGCUGGCACUUUUGUGUAUUUUCAUGUGACUGGGACCAAUGGCUUUAAAGAGCCAGAUCAAUUUAUCCAACUAAAAAGGAAAAUAAGCCAUGAGACCUAUAUGGUGGUAUCUAGAGUUACUCAUAUCUUCGUCGCUGCUUUUAUGACUCAUCUUAGCAUUCUUGUUAUUUCUGUUAAUUUUCCGUAUCUACAAUUGUUAAUUUAUUGCUGUCAUUGCAUUUCUCAUUUAAACAGAUCAAGUUUAUCUCAUGCAGGUUUUCAGCUCCUGGAUGCACU